AAAGAUUUGUGGGACCACAGCCAACUGUUUUAAAAACUUAAGCUGAUAGAAGAAUGCGUAGUUUAAUAUUUAUAUAUUCCAACACUUUCCUUCACGCUUAGUCCGAUCUUUUGCCUAGUACCAAGCGUGGACAUAUUCAUUGAGGAGGCAAAUAGGAGCUUGGAAAGGUUUAAAUUCAGGACCUUCUGCUUUGAUACCAUGAAAGAUUUGAUGGAACCACAGCCAACUGUUUUAAAAGCUU